CUGGGACAAACUAGAAACCUAUAACAAUGGAAAGUUCCAGGAAUCUAUGAAGGUUACUCCAGCUAACAUAUAUCCUAGCAACAGAGUAUAUCCAACCUCAAAUGGCCACCUUAUAUAAACUGUAAGACUUCCAGUGGAGGGAUGUGGACACCAAUCCACAAAUUUCUGCCUGAAAGAUGAUGUACGGAUAAAGAUGGAACAGGAACCGAGUUAAUGGGUAAACAGCGACUGGCCUAACUUGUGACCAAUGUGUUGUCAGGCUUUAUAGUCCCUGAAAUCCCAUGCUUCUGGAGCUACAUGUGGAAUUGGUAGUCUUGGUACCAGAAACUUUAUGAAACUGCAAGUUUAGAUGGUUAUCCCUGGUGACAGGAGACUUCCAGAGAAAAGAGUUCACAGGCUUGUCCAUGAUGUCCACAAGAAAGGAGCUCAGGAAUCCUGAGGAACAGGAGGAAGAGGGCUUGUUGGGCCAGAGGAGAUGGAGGACACCAGAACAAAAGGGCCUUCUGAAUCUACUAAAGAAGACACAGUUGAGCUCACAGACUCCAAGACAGAAAGACUCAUGUGGGUCCUCAGUAGGUAGAAAGAGAAACGUCCGAAUCCUGACAGAAAUCUGAAUAUGAGCCUUCCUAAUGGCAUACCAUACACUCUUUCAGUUUUGUGUAUAUGGUAAAUAUAAUCUGGUGA
rnacentral:lncRNA from 1 species